AUAUCAAUAAGCGGAGGAAAAGAAACUAACCAGGAUUCCCCUAGUAACGGCGAGCGAACCGGGAAUAGCCCAACUUGAAAAUCUCCCUUUGGAGAAUUGUAGUCUAGAGAAGUGCCCUCUGCGGCGGGUGGAGCUCAAGUUCGCUGGAAGGCGGCGUCAGAGAGGGUGAGAACCCCGUCGGCUCCAACUUUGCCGCACCACGAGGUGCUUUCCACGAGUCGGGUUGUUUGGGAAUGCAGCCCUAAAUUGGAGGUAAAUCCCUUCUAAGGCUAAAUAACGGCGAAGAGACGAUAGCGCACAAGUA
rnacentral:rRNA from 1 species